rnacentral:rRNA from 1 species
GACGAACGCUGGCGGCGUGCUUAACACAUGCAAGUCGAACGGAAAGGCCCUGCUUUUGUGGGGUUCUCGAUUGGCGAACGGGUGAGUAACACGUGAGUAACCUGCCCUUGACUUUGGGAUAACUUCAGGAAACUGGGGCUAAUACCGGAUAGGAGCUCCUGCUGCAUGGUGGGGGUUGGAGAGUGUCGGCGGUUGGGGAUGGGCUCGCGGCUUAUCAGCUUGUUGGUGGGGUAGUGGCUUACCAAGGCUUUGACGGGUAGCCGGCCUGAGAGGGUGACCGGCCACAUUGGGACUGAGAUACGGCCCAGAAUCCUACGGGAGGCAGCAGUGGGGAAUAUUGCACAAUGGGCGGAAGCCUGAUGCAGCAACGCCGCGUGCGGGAUGACGGCCUUCGGGUUGUAAACCGCUUUCGCCUGUGACGAAGCGUGAGUGACGGUAAUGGGUAAAGAAGCACCGGCUAACUACGUG